GUUCUUAUGGCAUAAUAUAAUUGCCUAGCAUUCAGUGUUUUCAACGCUUAUGAAUUUUAGCAGUUUUUUUUUUAAUUUUGUUCAACAGAAGACUACCAAGGAUGAAUACACUUCAAAGGAAUGCAAAAAGUCAGUGAGGAGUACCGGGUUCCCAUUACCACUCCACUUUGAUUUGAAGAGGUUUCACCUAAGCAGAGAACUGGAAACUGAAUUGAUGUCCAUCAAUUGGGGAAUUAUGAUUGUAUAUGUAUAUGAUUGUAAUGCAACACUAUGAUGCCAUAAGAAAUGACACACAAAACAAUCACAAAAAACCUGAAAAUACUUAUAUGAAGCGAUGUGAAGUGAAGUGAGUAGAACCAGAAGAACAUUGUACACUGGAACAACAAUAAUAUUAUGAUCAACUGUGAAGAAAUUAACUAUUUUCAACAAGGCAAGGAUCCAAAACAACUCCAAGGGACUUAUGAUGAAAAAGUCUAUCUGUAGCCAUUAGAGGGGAUAGAUGGAGUCCAAAAGUGAAUUGAAACAUGCCUUUGUUCACUUUAUUUCCUCCAUGAAUUUUUCUUUAAAUGUAAGCAAGGGGUGGAGUUAGAGAAAGAACAUUGAUAGCAAAGUAUCACAAAAUGAAUACUAAAUAUUGUAUUUACAUGUAAUGUGGAA
ensembl:lncRNA